rnacentral:tRNA from 1 species
GGGAUGAUAACUUAAUAGGUAAAGUGUACCGCUCAUAACGGUAAUUAUAGAGGUUCAAGUCCUUUUCAUCCUA